rnacentral:rRNA from 1 species
UACGGGAGGCAGCAGUGAGGAAUAUUGGACAAUGGAGGCAACUCUGAUCCAGCCAUGCCGCGUGCAGGAUGACUGCCCUAUGGGUUGUAAACUGCUUUUAUACAGGAAGAAACACUGCUACGUGUAGCAACUUGGCGGGACUGGAAGAAUAAGGGUCGGCUAACUCCGUGCCAGCAGCCGCGGUAAU